rnacentral:rRNA from 1 species
UCCACGCCGUAAACGAUGUCAACUAGCCGUUGGCUCUCUUUGAGAGUUAGUGGCGCAGCUAACGCAUUAAGUUGACCGCCUGGGGAGUACGGCCGCAAGGUUAAAACUCAAAUGAAUUGACGGGGGCCCGCACAAGCGGUGGAGCAUGUGGUUUAAUUCGAUGCAACGCGAAGAACCUUACCUACCCUUGACAUCCUAAGAAUUCGCUAGAGAUAGCUUAGUGCCUUCGGGAACUUAGAGACAGGUGCUGCAUGGCUGUCGUCAGCUCGUGUUGUGAAAUGUUGGGUUAAGUCCCGUAACGAGCGCAACCCUUAUCCUUAGUUGCCAGCGAGUAAUGUCGGGAACUCUAGGGAGACUGCCAGUGAUAAACUGGAGGAAGGUGGGGACGACGUCAAGUCAUCAUGGCCCUUAUGGGUAGGGCU